rnacentral:rRNA from 1 species
UACGUAGGCAGCAAGCGUUGUUCGGAGUUACUGGGCGUAAAGGGUGCGUAGGCGGUUGUUUUAAGUUUGGUGUGAAAUCUCCCGGCUCAACUGGGAGGGUGCGCCGAAUACUGAAUGACUAGAGUGCGGGAGAGGAGAGUGGAAUUCCUGGUGUAGCGGUGAAAUGCGUAGAUAUCGUAAGGAAGACCAGUGGCGAAGGCGGGUCUCUGGACAGUUCCUGACGCUGAGGCACGAAGGUCAGGGGAGCAAACGGG